ACGUGACAUAUCCUGAUUUAGUUUGAGCACACUUUCCAACUAUUCAAGAUAGAUUUACUUGAAUACACAUAAUACAUGUCAUCAUAGUCAACUAUAACUAAGCUUUGGAUAAAAGUGUCUGCUAAAUGGCAUAUUAUUUAUUUAUUAUUAUAAAAUCCCCCUAAAUCCCUCAAAUAAAAACGUAAUUUAGCAUCAAUUAGCCAGAUAAGCUAAUGUUAGCAAAUUAGCUGAAAGGAAUGAAAAGGACUUUUGCCACAUGGAAAAUUCAGAACUGGAAGAAGUGCAAGAGAAAUGAAGAUGUUUUCUAGUUGAGGAGCACAUGGGCAAUUGAAGAGCAUGUCAAAACGAAGAGCCAGACUUAGUCCUGAGGCUGAGGCUAUUCAUUUUAUUAUUUCUGGAAGUGACAAGCCUUGUAUAAAGUCAAAUGGAUCAAUGACUAUAAAGGACGUGGUGUAUUUGCCUCAGCACCAAUUGAAAAGGGAUCCUUUGUCCUCGAGUACCGUGGGGAGUUUAUAUCGCAAUAUGAACGGGACAAGAG